CCUACGGGUGGCAGCAGUGGGGAAUAUUGCACAAUGGGGGAAACCCUGAUGCAGCAACGCCGCGUGAGUGAGGAAGUAUUUCGGUAUGUAAAGCUCUAUCAGCAGGGAAUAGAAAAGAAGGUACCUGACAAAGAAGCCCCGGCUAACUACGUGCCAGCAGCCGCGGUAAUACGUAGGGGGCAAGCGUUAUCCGGAUUUACUGGGUGUAAAGGGAGCGUAGACGGAAAGGCAAGUCAGAAGUGAAAGCCCAAGGCUCAACCAUGGGACUGCUUUUGAAACUGUCAAACUAGAGUACGGGAGGGGUAAGAGGAAUUCCUAGGGUAGCGGUGAAAUGCGUAGAUAUUAGGAGGAACACCAGUGGCGAAGGCGGCUUACUGGACCGAAACUGACGUUGAGGCUCGAAAGCGUGGGGAGCGAACAGGAUUAGAUACCCGAGUAGUC
rnacentral:rRNA from 1 species